CAGGUGCUCACCCUUUCCAACAACCAAGUUCCAGAUAUCAAUACUGGAGGACUGAGUGGAUUUUCAGUGAUGGAGGAACACAAAUCCUACCAAGCUGCUGUGGAGACUUUUGUUUCUAAAUCAAGGUGGUGUCCAUUCGGGUACUCAAGUCUCAGUACAGAAAAGCCCCUAAGCUUCUACUUAAAGUCACAUACAGUUGGGAAAACAUGACGGCAUGUGACAAAUCCAGGACAGGUGAAAUGGAUGGAGGACCUUCAUCUUGCAAAAAAAUUACCAUGAACUUUGCAUCUGGAACCUGCCUCCCUCCUCUGCUUCCUCACAGAUUCCAGUGGACAGAGGUCUAUUUUUUCAUUUAUUCGUUUUAUUAUCCCAUGUCAGAUUUAUUCAAUAAACUUCACCCACAUCAU